GACGAACGCUGGCGGCGUGCUUAACACAUGCAAGUCGAACGGAAAGGCCCUGCUUUUGUGGGGUGCUCGAGUGGCGAACGGGUGAGUAACACGUGAGUAACCUGCCCUUGACUUUGGGAUAACUUCAGGAAACUGGGGCUAAUACCGGAUAGGAGCUCCUGCUGCAUGGUGGGGGUUGGAAAGUUUCGGCGGUUGGGGAUGGACUCGCGGCUUAUCAGCUUGUUGGUGGGGUAGUGGCUUACCAAGGCUUUGACGGGUAGCCGGCCUGAGAGGGUGACCGGCCACAUUGGGACUGAGAUACGGCCCAGACUCCUACGGGAGGCAACAGUGGAGAAUAUUGCGCAAUGGGCGGAAGCCUGAUGCAGCAACGCCGCGUGCGGGAUGACGGCCUUCGGGUUGUAAACCGCUUUCGCCUGUGACGAAGCGUGAGUGACGGUAAUGGGUAAAGAAGCACCGGCUAACUACGUG
rnacentral:rRNA from 1 species